rnacentral:rRNA from 1 species
AAAUGAAUUGACGGGGGCCCGCACAAGCGGCGGAGCAUGUGGAUUAAUUCGAUGCAACGCGAAGAACCUUACCUGGGUUUGACAUGCACAAGACGCCAGCAGAGAUGUUGGUUCCUUUUUGGUUUGUGUGCAGGUGGUGCAUGGCUGUCGUCAGCUCGUGUCGUGAGAUGUUGGGUUAAGUCCCGCAACGAGCGCAACCCUUGUCCUGUAUUGCCAGCGGGUUAUGCCGGGGACUUGCAGGAGACUGCCGGGGUCAACUCGGAGGAAGGUGGGGAUGACGUCAAGUCAUCAUGCCCCUUAUGUCCAGGGCUUCACACAUGCUACAAUGGCCGGUACAGAGGGUUGCGAUACUGUGAGGUGGAGCUAAUCUCUUAAAGCCGGUCUCAGUUCGGAUUGGAGUCUGCAACUCGACUCCAUGAAGUCGGAGUCGCUAGUAAUCGCAGAUCAGCAAUGCUGCGGUGAAUACGUUCCCGGGCCUUGUACACACCGCCCGU